UACAGAGGUCUCAAGCGUUGUUCGGAUUCAUUGGGCGUAAAGGGUGCGUAGGCGGCGCGGUAAGUCGGGUGUGAAAUCUCGGAGCUUAACUCCGAAACUGCAUUCGAUACUGCCGUGCUUGAGGACUGGAGAGGAGACUGGAAUUUCCGGUGUAGCGGUGAAAUGCGUAGAUAUCGGAAGGAACAUCAGUGGCGAAAGCGGCUUCCUGGUCCAGCACCGACGUUCAGGCACGAAAGCGUGGGGAGCAAACAGG
rnacentral:rRNA from 1 species